UUCUCUGCCUCUGAUCAUGCAUGGCCUUGUUCUUUUCUUCUCUCACUCUUCUUCCCCCCCCCCUCUCUCUUUUCUUUCAGGCAUGUGAUGUUUCGGUCCACCGUGCAGCGGAUCAGCUUUCCUCCUAAGGGGGGACCUGCUCCAUGCCAAUAUAAUCCACAGACCAGACCAGGAAAAUGCAUCACUUCAAGCUUCAAAUCAACAUUGCCGCAGCUCCACAGUGUGCACUCCGAGACCCCAGGACCAGGGGCCUACGAAUCUUGCUGGAAAUUGGGCGACCGUCUGACCGCAGAUCCCAUAGACCCGUCAUUUAGCCUCUUCUUCCGCAACAUUCUCUAGUAUUUGGACUUGAAUUCCAACAAUUCCUUGAUCCCACCACCAACUUCUUAUCCUUUUUGCUUGAUGGCAGAACAAACAUGA